UUUUCUACAUUAUUAACAUUCAAACUUUUUGAAAAAGAUAAAAUUUGAGACAUUUGACGUUUUUAAAUAUUUGGCGCCAUUUUAAGUUGUAAAGUUUUGUACAUACGUUAAUAAAUAGAUGGUGGGUGUUGAAAUGGGCUCGACUAGUUACUUGAAGCCUAAAUCUGGUGGGUACAGAGCUAAAAGUGGGUCUAGUGGUGGAUCAGACAAGGAGAUGAACGGGAAAUUGCGGCGCCCGAAAAUUAGGCGGCCGACGAAGUUGAACGACUAUGGGUUGAAGAGGAUUCCAGAUUAUACGGAGUUGGCUUAUAAAGAGGCUGUGUCCAAAUUGAGAUACUUUCUGUCCGGGAACUAUGUACCGAGUGUCCGCAGUUACGGAGGCUCCGCGUCAAUCAAGAACUUAGACGAGUCAGACGGCGAGUUAGAGAAGAAGUACAACCUCGCCACAUCGGCUCCGUACAACGCGUUGUUGGAGUACAAGCCACGCCCGCGGCUGACGGCCAAAUACGCCACAUUGUAUGCCGAUAGCCUCAACAAUACGCAUACGAAACAACAUGUCAGUGCGCCUGCGCCAGCGGCGGCGAAUGCUGACGUCACGGGCGGCACCAACCCUGACGUCAUCAAUUUCAUCCAGAAACAGGAGGAAUACAUCGAACAGCUGGAGCGAGAGAGCCAGUACUGCAGGGAUGAACUCAACAACCUGCUAGGCAAGGUGAAGGAAGUGAUAUCAGAGAACGAACAUUUACACGAGGCUCAGAAGAACAAGCUGAUUAAUCGAAUGUUCCACUCGUACGCCGGAUCUGAGACCGACGAGCUGGACGACCUGGGCGAUAGCACUGGAUUGGAUAGCGAUAAUAAGGUUACUCCAUCAAAGGCCCGUAAGAGCAAGCCUCGUUCGACCCGGCUGGAGGGUCCAAACAUAGUGUUUGAGUCCCGCAUCGCCGAGCUGGAAGCACAGUUGACACAGGCCAAGAUCGAUCUGAAGAAGGUUCAGGAGGAAAAUAAUGAGAACAAACGCAAGCUGGCCUCUGGGCUGGUUGACUCAACCUGCCUUGACGGCUUCAAGCGGCAGAUCGACAACUUGCAAAGAGACAAGUCAUCCCUGGAGGCGCAGAUCUCCAAGCUGAAGUUGAGCUUGGAGUCCCGGGACGGCGAGUACCGCCGAGGGUCUGACGCUGUAGAGCAGCAGCUUAGAGACGAGCGCAACAACUUGGAAGCGGAGUUGCGCAGACUUAAGGACGACCUCACCAAAGAGCGGUCGAAGGUGCGCGAGCUGGCGGGCGAGGGCGCUCGGCGCGCUAUACAGGAGCGCAGCGCGGCCGAGCAGCGAUACAACGCGCACUUCGACGAGCUACAACACGAUCUCGCGGCGCAGUACGACAACGUCGCUAAACUACAGUUGGAUCUAGAGCGCCAACGUCGAGAGGAGAACGACCUCAAACGCGAGCUGUCCAUGAAGACUGCUGCCAUCGAAGAACUCAAGAUGGAGUUGAAGAACAAGACAGCAUCUUUGCAAGCAGACCUUGCUCAGGCUCACGCUGAAAAGGCAUCUCUGGAAGAGGAGUUAGCUAGCGCUCGCCUGGCCAUCGAGCGUCAUCAGAGACAAGCCAAGCAUGAGACCAACCGUCUCAAUUCUGAGAUCCAGUCUCUCCGCCAACGUCUGGAUCGAGCUGAUGCAGACCUGGUACAUUCACGUCGCGAGAAUUUGCGUCUUACUGAGCAGAUUUCUACUUUGGAGAAAGAGCUUAACAUGAAGAACCUAACACCAAAUUCUCCAGAGAAGAAGAAAGACAAAGAGUUGUCAACUAUGUUUGAGUCGAUGGAGAAUAAACAUGGGAAGAAUUGGGCACUCUGCAGCGUCAAGUAGAGACUCUCAGUCGGACCCUGCAGACACCAGAGAAGGCACCUAGCACUUAUCAAGCACAACCCACGCACGCGCCCGCAACCAGUCGAAAUAUCCCACAAUCUCCCGGACCCAGACAAAACCAUCCCCGAGUUGAGUCCGCCAGAGACGCCCACGCUGACCGCGCGCUCCCUGACUUCCGACAAGACCGAG
rnacentral:misc_RNA from 1 species